UAGUCUGCAACUCGACUACAUGAAGCUGGAAUCGCUAGUAAUCGCGAAUCAGAAUGUCGCGGUGAAUACGUUCCCGGGUCUUGUACACACCGCCCGUCACACCAUGGGAGUCGGAAAUGCCCGAAGCCGGUGACCCAACCCGAAAGGGAGGGAGCCGUCGAAGGCAGGUCGGAUGACUGGGGUGAAGUCGUAACAAGGUAAC
rnacentral:rRNA from 1 species